GUCAGAACGAUUUGAUUUUUAAACAAAAAAAAAUGUAAUAACAAUAAGUAUGCUGAUUCUAAUCUAGUACCUUUGUUUUUUUUAAUUUUAAUAGUAAUUGUAAGAAGGUAAAAUCUGGCACCUUCUCAAAAAAGAUAGGGAACUUUAGACCUUUUAUUACGUUUACGUUUAUUUUUAGACCUUUUUGUUAUGUUUAGAGGAGCUCCAAGCCUCAAACGAAUUUUAA